rnacentral:ncRNA from 3 species
UUCUUAUCAAGAGAGACGGAGGGACUGGCCCUAUGAUGUCUCGGCAACUGGCUGUACGCAGUGCGGUGCCAAAUCCAGCAGACGAUGUUUCGUUUGGAAGAUGAGAA